UCGGGAUUUGUUCUCUCCCGAAACCCUUCUCUCCUUCUCCUCUCGCGACGGCGAUUCCUUCUCGGGCGAAAACGAAGCUAGGGCUUCGUCUCCGGCGGCCGGCGAGCACUUCUCUCUGUGGGUUCUUCACAGAUUCAAGGUCUCCUCGUCGAAGAGAGCUCGUGGGCACGAGGAAGGGUUGAAAUCUCAAGUUCUCUGAACCCUAGAGGCUUUCUCCUCCGGUAGUAAGUCGAGGGAUUCCGCGUGCUGUGAAGUUGCUCGUGUGUUUGCUGCCGUGAACUUCAAAGUAAGGAGAUGAGUUGUUUAGGUUAGGCAUAGGGUUGUUUUCUUUCUUCAGGCCUUAUAAUUGUUAAUUCCGAUUUUGAGUUAGAUUUUUCUAUGGUGAUCUUAAUUGACAUGAUCAGUUCAUAUGGAGUUUAAGGGUUUCGGAUUUUCACUGCUAGACAAUGAAAAUAAGUGUUAUAUGGUUUUAGAUUCAUUGAUCUCGUAGUAUAGUGUUUUAGUUACAGAUUUCUUAAUAAAUCAAAGUUAGCAGUAGCAAAUUAUUU